rnacentral:lncRNA from 1 species
CCGCAACGUCGGUCCCAUGACACGGGGCAACGACCUGCGCGGAAGAAGACGGAAACUCGGAGCCAGUUUGAGCCAAUCCUUUCUCGGCUUGGCGACGAACUAGUUUCUCUCGGAAAGAAAGAUGACCGGCAACACAAGCCGGCACUUCCGCCGGAGAAGUUGGAACCGGAGCCGGAGAAGUGGCCUCACCCAUCUCGACGUCGGAAUCCUUCUUAUCA